rnacentral:lncRNA from 1 species
AGAAAAACUCUUAUCUCUCCAUCUCAGUUUUGGCACGCUCUUGCACUCUUUAUUGCCACCACAUUAUCACCGCUCGUUUGUAUAUGGAAUGAAAAUAUCAUAUAAGCAUAAUCUAGAUUUCCAACAAAAUAGGAGCAAAAUGAGAAAUAAUCGUCUCAAAUACAACAACAAUCCCGAUUAAAUACAAUUGUCAUAUUAGAUUUAUAAACCCAAUUUACUUAUGAUUCCAAUUUUUUUUUUUUAAUUUUUCAAACCCAAUUUACCCAAAAAAUCAAGAAGUCAUGGCAUAAGAAACCCACAAAACAAAAGCACACCACCUUCAAUAGAGGAAGUAGUGUUAAAGGAAAAAUCUAUUACUGUAAAAUAUGCACUCUAGCAUCGAAAAAGCACUCCGAUUGUUGUCCAAUAGGAGGUUGCAGCCAUUGAAACUGAGAAAUCGAAAGAAACUAAGGAAGUGAAAAUUAAGCAAUUAGCGCUCUUCAUCAUUUGAAAGAGCUAAUCCAAGGAGCGAGUAAUAAGCAUGAGUUUACCGCUUGGGCCGCCAACCAAAGAGAAGAAGUUGGAUGAACCAAAGAGGAUAGAAGAGAAAGUUAAAGUGGAGAAGGAAGAUAAAAUUAAAUUCGGCUUGUACUAGUGAAGAACUGAGAACUAAAGAGGUUAAGAUGACAACGACACCAC